CUCCCAAACCCCUGUGAACAUACCUUAAUGUUGCCUCGGCGGAUCAGCCCGCGCCCCGUAAAACGGGACGGCCCGCCAGAGGACCCAAACUCUAAUGUUUCUUAUUGUAACUUCUGAGUAAAACAAACAA
rnacentral:misc_RNA from 1 species